CACGCCCUAAACGAUGGAUGCUAAGUGUUGGACUUCGGUUCAGUGCUUCAAGCUAACGCAUUAAGCAUCCCGCCUGAGGAGUACGGCCGCAAGGUUAAAACUCAAAUGAAUAGACGGGGACCCGCACAAGCAGUGGAUCAUGUGGUUUAAUUCGACACUAAACGAGAAACCUCACCUAGGCUUGACAUUGAUAGAAAGAGACAGAAAUGUUUUUGUGCCCGCAAGGGAACUUGAAAACAGGUGC
rnacentral:rRNA from 1 species